rnacentral:rRNA from 1 species
UACGUAGGGUCCGAGCGUUGUCCGGAAUUACUGGGCGUAAAGAGCUCGUAGGUGGUUUGUCGCGUUGUUCGUGAAAACUCACAGCUCAACUGUGGGCGUGCGGGCGAUACGGGCAGACUUGAGUACUGCAGGGGAGACUGGAAUUCCUGGUGUAGCGGGUGGAAUGCGCCAGAUAUCAGGAGGAACACCGGUGGCGAAGGCGGGUCUCUGGGCAGUAACUGACGCUGGAGGAGCGAAAGCCGUGGGGAGCGAACAGG